UAAUUGAAGAGUUUGAUCAUGGCUCAGAUUGAACGCUGGCGGCAGGCCUAACACAUGCAAGUCGGGCGGUAACAGGGGGAAGCUUGCUUCUCUGCUGACGAGCGGCGGACGGGUGAGUAAUGUAUGGGGAUCUGCCUGAUGGCGGGGGAUAACUACUGGAAACGGUAGCUAAUACCGCAUAAUGUCUUCGGACCAAAGCGGGGGA
rnacentral:rRNA from 1 species